UUUGAGGAGCAUUCUCACUACUAGGGUAUGACUUGAUUACUAGAAGAGUUGAUACAGUUCAAAUAUGUCUAGUUUGAUUGGACCAGAAUUUUUUUAUGUGUGUGUUUAGAUCAGGGAUGAUCUUAUUGUUGUUGAUUCUUUUGUUGUUGGUAGUACUGUCUUUUAAGUUGUGGAACAGGGAGAAAAUGGUCAUUUAUUUAUGUUUUCCUGGAUGAAGAAUGGAAGGAGAGGGUUUUUCAAGUCUUUGUGGGAGAAGAUUUUGUCUGUUUGGGAAUGGAAAAUUUUGUUCUUUUGAAACUUCUAUCUAGUGUUUAUGCUUCAUUUGUUUUCAUAUCUCACUGCUAGUUGGUUAUGCUGAGCAAAGAUGUUACAGGCCUUAGCUUUAUGUUAUUAUCAUCUCUAGUUUUCUUUCCUUGCUAAUUCUUAAAAAAUUGCUCUACUUCAUUAGUGCUUCUGAUCACUCUUGCUGGUUUCAUUAGUGAAUUUAGUUUAUAAUGCAUAUUAUUUUUUAUUAUAAGGCAUAUUAUUAGUGCUUCUGAUCACUCUUACUUAUUUAAGUUUUAUUAGUGCUUCUGAUCACUUUUGAUUCCAAAUUGAUGAUUCCAUUGUUGAUUUUAUCAGAGGAAAUAUGAAUUCAGAGGAAGCUGCACAAAUUCCUAGAAGAACUACAAAGUCUUUAGCUUUAUCUUCUGCACAAAUUUCUGCUUCAUCUUUAGUUAAGUUUUGUUUGCUUUCUAUUCCUUUUUGGUCUUUAGUUUCAUCCUAUAUUAUUAUUAGUUAACUAGUUUCAAUUUCGUUCCUUGCGUUUGAAUUUCUUCUCCAAAAUCCCUGGUUGAAUCAUGGAUAAGAGCAUGUUAGCUGGUCUGGAAUCACUUCUAUAAUAAAUUAGAAAUUUGCAUUUUAUAUCCUAGUCAAAAUUUUCAAUCUCAGCAUUUAAAUCCAAUCGUUAUGAUGCUACAUACUACAUUAUCUUGGAUCAAAGGGUUUACAACUACUUGUGGUAUAGAUGAACAACAGUGAAGAUGAAGAAACUUGCCAUCUGCGUCACAAUCAAAUAGUUACUAUUACAUUAGGUGCCAACUAGUCAAAAUUGACAAAUUUAUAGCAAUGUAUGAGAAUGAGAGGAAGAUACUUUCCAUUGAAAAUGCUGCUCCGUAAUAGGGAUAUGCUGCUGGUAUGAAUCUCUCAUAUUUGUUGUGUCUGAAGGGACGGACAGGGAUCUACGUACAAAGUUCAAAGGCAUUCGAGAUCUUUGUGCUGUACGCCAAAGACGUCACUACUCCUGAUGAUAAACAAGAGCUUGAUGAGGCUUUGCAGCAGGAGGUGGAUGUUCGAAAGGAUCUGAUAAGAAAUUUCACAAACACGAUUGAUCUUGAUCAGCUAGAUAUUUGAUGGUGCAACUUAUUGUGAAGCUGAAUGUUUUCCUCAGUAACCAUAACACAGAUAUUUUCAUAUAUGCCAUGGAAUGCAUAGAAGCAAGAAAGGCCCCCAUUUUUGUUGAUGUCAUUUGGUUAUGAAAGAACCACUGUUGUGCACAAGGGGAAUGGUCAUUUGUAAUGGAGGAAUUUGAUCUAUACCAAAAUGACUUCUUU